rnacentral:rRNA from 1 species
UACGAAGGGGGCUAGCGUUGCUCGGAAUCACUGGGCGUAAAGGGUGCGUAGGCGGGUCUUUAAGUUAGAGGUGAAAGCCCGGGGCUCAACCCCGGAACUGCCUUUAAGACUGCAUCGCUUGAAUCCAGGAGAGGUGAGUGGAAUUCCGAGUGUAGAGGUGAAAUUCGUAGAUAUUCGGAAGAACACCAGUGGCGAAGGCGGCUCACUGGCCUGGUAUUGACGCUGAGGUGCGAAAGCGUGGGGAGCAAACAGG